CGCUCAGUCGCGAGACUUCGGCACGCAACGCGGAUAUCUCAUCCCGGCACACCGCUAGCGCACGAUUUUGUUCCAGGACGAGACGUUCCCAAUCCGAGGCGCCCGCUGCCUCCAUAGUACGGCGAAGUAAUCUGUUACGAAGCGCUGACGGAGACAAGCGCGGGCGAGCGAAGAGAUGGCGUGUGACCGAACACAGGACGAGAAUCGACUCGGGACCGAGCAGCUCUGGGGAGGACAGUGAGCGUCCUCAGAGCAGGAGCUCGACUCAUCAGACACAGACCUCAGCACAGUGUUAUCUGGAAGUAAGUGUUAAAGUGGAAGUUUUAUAUGAGGCUAAGCGAACUAUGCUAACAGGCUGAGCACAAACAAGAGCACCAAGAGUCACAUUCUGCGCUAAAAUGCGAUGUUGACCUCUCUCAAAGUUUGCCAUGUAUUGUUCUACGUUUACAUUUUUACAUUGCACACAUUUUAUAACAUUUAAUUUAUC
ensembl:lncRNA